rnacentral:lncRNA from 1 species
UAUGAGCAAGCUCUGCCCUAAGUAGGGAUAAGUGGUCUUGAAGAUCAUUUAUCUCUUGCUCUCUAUUAGCCCAAAGUAUCUAUACUAAAGCCUUGAUUUCGUGGACCUCGUGUUGAAGCCAUUCCACAUUGAAGUUAGUGGUGGUAAGUCAUCCAAUGUAAACAAUACGUUCUCAAGUUCAACCUAAAUAAUAGAUUUGAGGUUUAUGUCGUCUAAAUCUAGCAAGGUCUUUGCUAGGGGCUCGAGCAAGACCAUGGAACUAAAAAUCGGCUUGUAACGGCCGUUACGUAGCGGUAACGCUGGGGUCCGUUCCCGUUAUACCCUGUUUGUAACGGAGAAAAUUGGAUCACACUCGUAACAGCCGUUACGCUCCGUUACACACCGUAACGACCGUUACACUCCGUUACACGCCGUUACGAUCCGUUACAAUGAACAAUCAAACAAAAACUCAGCAAUAUUAUCCUAAAAAACUUAUAAAAAUUCUCAAAAAUAAAAAAAUCUCAGAUUUGGACUGGUACUGGUACCUCUCUUGUCUGAAUCUCCCCUAUUUCCAUUGCAAGAACUGAAAGCCAACACGAAAGUAUUACCCCUCCGUUUUCACUUCACUGGACGAUGUAAUAACUAAUAACACUCCAAGAUAUGCAGCAUAUGCUUGACUGGGUUCGGUGGUAAGCUGUUAGCAGACUAUGAAGUGAGAGAGAGAGAGAGAGAUUGUGUCGAAGAAAUUAGAAUGGUUAGAACCGUAGCAGAGGCUGAACUCUGAAGAGCAACGAGGGAUUGAGGGAAUGAGGGGUACAGAAGACUGAAAGUGGUGGUUGUGAAUGUGGCAUAACUGGGGAUUAUUGGGAUUAAACUAUCAUGGACUGCUUGGUUGAGUCAGGCUAUAAUUACGUGUCACAGUGUUGUUACCUAGCAAAGAUCACAGACCAAAUGCAAAAUUUAAAUUUAAUGAUAAAGUUAGUGGCAUGGGGUGGUACAUUGGAUUUAUCUUAAUCAGUCAAGCAAAACUAUUUAUUUUGCAUGUUUAUUGUCAAUAUUAUUCACGUAAAAAAAAAAAAAUUAAAUUUAUUUAAUAUAUAUAAUUUUGAGUUAGAUGAAUUAAAAAUUGUCAAUAUUAUGAUGGAUUUAUAGCUCAUAAUUAAUAAAAAUAAAUUUUAAUUAACUAAAUGGAUUUUCUAGUUGCCAUAUAAAAAAAUGAGAGAAAAUAAAAAUAAUUUUUUAAUCAGAAACGUAAAAAUAAAUAAAUUUUUAACUUGUUCAUGGGUUAUGGUCAUAAAUAGUGAUGAAUUUUGAAAAAAAUCAAGAGAUGUGUUGAAAGUUCACGAGCCACUUUUGAUGGUGUUAAGACUCGUGGAUGGAGAUGAAAAGCCAACUAUGGGAUUUAUUUAUGAAGUAGUGGAUAGAGCAAAGUUGGCCAUUAAAAGAGAUUGCAGGUAUUCUCAAAAAUAUUGGAAGAUAAUUGACAAUAGGUGGAGCUUCCAACUACAUACUGAUUUGCAUGCUGCUGGUAAGCAAAACUUUUAAUUUUUAAUAUUUACUAAAAUUUUUACAAGCGUAUAUUAUGACAUUGACUAGCAUUGUUUUUGAUUUUUUUAUUUUUAGAUUAUUAUUUGAAUCCACAGUUACAAUAUUCACAUGACAUCUCUAAAGAUGAUGAUUAUGAUAUAGGUUAGAAGAACUAGAGCAGUAAAAGUAAUACAAGAUGGAGCCUGAUAUGGACAACCAAAAAAUUUUUUAGUUGCAAUCAAUCAAGUAUAAUUAUGUGGUAUUUAUAAAAUUUAUAUUAUUUUACAAUGUGGCCAAGUGUGUAAUUAUAUUUAGCUUUUUUUGUAGUAAUAUUGUUAAGGAUAAGGUGGAGUCUUUGGAACACGUUGGAUCAAAGAGUAGUAAAUCAAACCAAUCUAGGAUAAUAUAAAUUAUCAUUCACCUCCAUCUAUAUGCGACACCAUUACUCAAAAUCUGUUGUCUAAAUAUUUUAUGAUCAUUCAGAUUCAGAACUGAAGCGGUGGUUGAUUAUGGGAAAGUUCCUUUACACCUGAACUCGCGUUAUGCUGUACGAGUUUUAAGUCAGAUCACCUUGUCUUCAAAUUAUGAACACAAGUUGGAUCACUUUUAGUUUAAUUCACACAAGACAGAAACAGACUCAAGUACUAUAAGUUGCAAAUUUGGGUCUACUGCUAUUAUAAUAUGAGGGUUGAAAUAAGAAUCUCCACCAGAAAAUUGCAAAAGAAUAGAGGAAGUUUUUACCCUUAUCAACUUGAUUAAUCUUGAGGAGGCCGAUCCCCUAUCUCUGUGAUUGGAAGAAAGAGAAGCUCCUCUAUUGGAUGGUCAAGCUAAUGGUGGGAUGAAUAGUGAUGAUGAAGAUUGUGGACAAUUAUUGGAUCACAAACUAGACAAGCCUGUUGACCAGAUUAAUGUCCAACUUCUCUUGUCAUUCUGAUCUGCAGCACAAAAUGAUAACAAUAACAAUCAAAAUUCAUCAGGGGUGGACAGGAAUGAUGAUAAUAAUGAGGGUCCAAAAAAUGGGGUGGUACUAUGUGUUGAGAGUAGAAGAUGCCAAUGAAGACAAGAAGAUGUGCUCCGUCUCCUUAAUCUUAGAGAACAGGAUUAGGAGCAGGGAGAUGCUUUUUUUGAUGAAGUUGGGGAUUCUGUUCAUAUUCGAGACAUAGGCGAAAGAAGCACACCAAGAGGGUUUAGAAACUAGAUAGAAAGUCAAAGGAAAAACAUCGGAAGAAGAAGAAGCAGAUGAUGUUCAGGGUCUGUAACAUAGCUUCAGAUAGUGGAUCAGAGUUUUUUUAGGACGGGGGCUUUGGAGUGAUGAGCCAUCCUACCUCUUUUGGAUAGUUAGGUCCUUCUAGUAUAACUAUUCCACCACCACCACCUUUCUCAUUACUAUCCACCUCAACCAAAUAUAAUCCCCGCUCCUGUAUAUAUCCUCCACGACAGUCAAGGUGGUGGGGGGGGUGGUCCCUCAUAUUUGCUUUCUUCAUCUUCAUAGUCCACCUUAUAGAGUCUAGAAAGCUUUCGAGGAGCUUUGGAUACUUGUAUGGUUGAGCAUAGAAAGGACAGUACUUCUUAAUCAAUAGUUUGAAAAUAUGAGGAACCUCCACGCGUUCUAUAUGGUGGAUGUGAAGCAGAAAGUUUGCUAAUUAGAGUUUCAAAUUUUAUGUUUUUGUAAUAAUUUAAUUUUGCAUUUGUAAUUUGUAAUGAUAAUUUGUGUUUUUAUUAAAAGGUAAUUAAUUUAUAUAUAAAAUGACUUUAAAACCAAAAUAAUAUGCAUAAUACACUAUAUACAUUUUAAAUGUGACAUUUAAAAUUUAUCGAUUAAUCAUUCUAAAAUAAUUUGUACAAUUUAGUUUUAAGUCAAACCAAGCGUAACAAUACAUUUCAUACACAUUUAAUCAUCUAAAAAAAAUUCACGACGCGAUUAACCGUGAUCCCAUUACGUAACCUCCGCGACGCCCACGUCCGCGUCUCGGUCUGCGACCGCUAUUUAGUUCUAUGAGCAAGACCAUAGGGACAAAAGGACCUAUUAAAUGGAAGUUGUCAAAUGUUUCUAAAUGACUCUCAAAGGCCAAUUUCCGCAUGGUGAAAGCAUAAGGUCUGACACGCCAUUGCAUGAAAGGAAUCCCAGCUAGUUUUAUCCACGAGUAAUACUUCAUUAUUGAUACAAACAAAACAUCAAGCUUGUUAGGGUCCUUUUGAGGUGUUCCCUUACAUGAAAGAUCACCCAUUGGCAAGGUCCUCAUUGAUUCUUAGAAAGCUUUGGGUGUGUUUGUACCCUUUGAGGUGUCAUGGGAUGUGGAAAGCUAGUUGUCUCAUUAGUGAAUUCCUGACUGCCCUCUUCGCUAGUAACAGAGGGUCACACCUCAGUGGUUUUGACUAUAGUGCUAUGAUUUGCCAAAGAGGUGUAUGGAAUGACAAUGGGUGCUGCUGAUUGAGGCAAAAAAAUGGAGAUCAAAUGCCAAGAACUGCAGCGACAAUAUGGGUGGGCAAUUCAGUGGUUGAAUUAGGAGGAAGAUUGAACGAUGGCAUAACGGGCACAUAAGAUCAGGCGAUUCACCAACUACUUCUUCGGAGUGAAGAAAAAAUAGUUGUUUCGAGGAUAGAGGCAACUGGAAGGUCAUGCGUAGAAGAGUUGGGGGAAUAGCGCUAAUGGAGUCAUCUGGUUUAUUGAUGCAGUACUAGGGAGUUUGGCCGAGCCUCAUCAAGGUCAACACUCUCUCCAGCUAGGGGUAAUAUUGCUUCAGUGUGUAAAUGGGUUGGGGCGAUGACCCUUGGUGGUCUUACUGCAACAAAGAAUGAUGUGAUGGUCCCGAAAGUGGAAAUAGGGGUUGUGAAAGGCCUUACGGAUGUGUAGACAUCCUAUUUUGACCGGCUAUUAGAUUGUUGUCCGAUGAUGAAAGAAUGAGAUGGAUAACUAUGAAUGAAUUGAAUUUGUGAUUUUUCUCGAGGAAUAUCACUUUUAUUUUUUUUUAGGAUAAGAUGUUAGCAUAAAGCUUAAUUGAUUUUGAUGAUUAACUUAGACAUUUAAACUAUGUUAAAUAUACUGAAAAAUCAUUUUAAAGAGAGAACCCAAGUUCAAGAUGCAUGAAAUACUUUGCAAACUAUAAACAAUGGCUCGCAACCUUGAUCAAUUUUAAUCCCUAAGAUUUCACAAGUCAAAACGAAUGGUACAAUUGAUCAUGGAACUUAUAGAGGAUUCAACAAAGUCUACAAUUCAAUUUGAAUGAUUAACGAUUGUUGGUGUGUAGGAAAGAACAGAAAAUGUCAAAAGUGCAGCAAUAUUCACAAGUUAGGACAGUCCGGAAGGUGACUCCUAAGUGUGAAGCUGAAAUCCUAAGUUUGAAGUGGACUCAUCCUAAGUUUGGACAGAAAGUUUGCGCUGACGGCCUAAAAAAAGUUAGGAGGUCCUAAGUUGACAUCUAAGUUUGAACAGAAAGAUUGGGGACGACCUAAAAAGUUAGGACGUCCUAAAGUUUCUCAAAUAGGACGACCUU